rnacentral:rRNA from 1 species
CCUACGAGAGGCAGCAGUGGGGAAUAUUGGGCAAUGGGCGCAAGCCUGACCCAGCAACGCCGCGUGAAGGAAGAAGGCUUUCGGGUUGUAAACUUCUUUUACGAGGGAGGAGCAGAAGACGGUACCUCUUGAAUAAGCCACGGCUAACUACGUGCCAGCAGCCGCGGUAAUACGUAGGUGGCAAGCGUUGUCCGGAUUUACUGGGUGUAAAGGGCGUGUAGCCGGGCUGACAAGUCAGAUGUGAAAUUCCUGGGCUCAACCCCGGACCUGCAUUUGAAACUGUUGGUCGUGAGUAUCUGAGAGGCAGGCGGAAUUCCUAGUGUAGCGGUGAAAUGCGUAGAUAUUAGGAGGAACACCAGUGGCGAAGGCGGCCUGCUGGACGACAACUGACGGUGAGGCGCGAAAGCGUGGGGAGCAAACAGGAUUAGAUACCCCAGUAGUC